rnacentral:rRNA from 1 species
UCGGCCUACGGGGCGCAGCAGUGGGGAAUAUUGCACAAUGGGCGAAAGCCUGGUGCAGCAACGCCGCGUGAAGGAAGACGGUUUUCGGAUUGUAAACUUCUGUUCUUAGUGAAGAAUAAUGACGGUAACUAAGGAGCAAGCCACGGCUAACUACGUGCCAGCAGCCGCGGUAAUACGUAGGGGGCAAGCGUUAUCCGGAUUUACUGGGUGUAAAGGGAGCGUAGACGGCGCGGCAAGUCUGAAGUGAAAGGCAGGGGCUUAACCCCUGAACUGCUUUGGAAACUGCCAUGCUAGAGUGCUGGAGG